rnacentral:sRNA from 1 species
UACUCUAUAGCUGCUGCACGGUUAAUCGU